rnacentral:sRNA from 1 species
GUUGAACAAACAUUGGGUGGUGCAGUAUUCUAGUCGACUCUCCAUACCCGAAGGCGGGCCUAAAAAUCCGCUGAAGGGCACAUCGAUGAAGUUUCUGGUUCCGGCUUGAGGCGCCCAGCCUUGGGUCGGAGCUGGGAGUAAAGGCAAGGGGGCGAUCCACAAAGGCAUGUGGGCGCGAACCCUCUUGCCGCGGAGGCCUGAAUGGUUCUGCUCUGGGAGUGAAUCAUUCGGGUAAGACCUGCCGCGCGGGCAAGAAAUUGUCUGCAGGUAGCGUAGCCUGCCUUGAGUGGAGCCGGGGGAGGAUGCGUCACAAGGUAAAUAGCUGCCGGCCAGCGGCUAUUUACCUUUUGCAUCCGAAACCUGCUCUGCAAAAGAGGCUAAGGGAUGGCACGGAGUCGUUGAGGAAAACUCCUAGACUGUUCACCAAUUAGGUGACAUACAGAGGGGAUUACGGUGCGUGCUAAGUGGUAAUCCAGUCUGAUGACCGGCGACGGCAUCAAGGCAGCCUUAAAGGGAAACCGCCAGGGCGGCGACGCGCUGGCUGCUGCCUGGGAAAUCCUACUGGACCUAAGCCGCAAAGUUUAUCUUUUGUAUGACCACCCUACGUACAUACGAC